UCCAUCAGGGCGACCCCGAAGCCCGAGGGAAGAGAACUAGCUAAAUAAUAAAAGCCCAGUUGCUAGGCAACGGCCGCUGCCAGACAAAAGCCCAGGCUCCGGCUCCAAUCAGCGUGCGGCUCUCUCGACCCCGCCUUCUUAGGACUCGCGUGGUGCGACCUGACGCUGACACCUCUGCACCAAACCAGCUUCCGUCUGUGCCCACCGGGUGGUCUCUGCCAGGCAGAAUUGGCCAUCAAAGGAUAGGGUCUUUGCCUCGCACGGUUCGCUAAAGGGGGAGAGGAAAUUCUCAGUGGGGAAGGGCAUUUUUAUAUUAAGGGGACAGAAACCUCACCUUGUAAUAGACAUCAAACAUCAGGUCGCUGCCUGCAGCAAGAGCUUUGUCAGCUACACACAACUGUGAGCUCCAACCACCACACGGCACGGACCUGAGCCCUCUGUUCUCUGAAGCUCUGAGUCUUUGACCAUUGAUGUCUUAUUGCCCCAGACGGCUUCAUCUGCUCUCACUGUUUCAAGCCCUUCCCACACAGUCUGUGGCUGCCUCCUGUGUGCACAGGAGGUUAGACACACAGCCAGACAUGCACCCCAUGGGGGAAACUCCAGCUCUGAUGCUCUGAGCUAGGUGAUCUCAGGCCAAAAUUUUAAAUUCUAUCAGCAAAGCAAUUGAUUCUUCUGUAAAAGAGUAAACGC
rnacentral:lncRNA from 1 species